GCAUGGUACUUUUGUGUGUCUGAUCAUUUUGCUUGCUGAAGAUUUUGGACAGUGUGAUGUGACCCUUGGUUCUAAUAGUUUAUUUGAGUCUAUUAUGGCAAUCCGUGACUAAAACUCACAAGUGAUUCUGUGUGUCUCUUUGUUUCAGCUAUGGAUUGGAGUCAGAGGUUGCAGCUCUUGCUCUUCUCACUCCUCUGUCUCACUGGCAGCUCCAAGGCAGUGGGAGAGCUCUGUGUGGACAACGGACGAGAGACUGAGCAGGUCUUUUCAGUUUCCGGUGAUGCUGCCAUGUUGACAUCCACCCUGGUGGACCUCAAUGGGUUCAACUAACGCAGCAUCCCCUAUAACAUCUCAUGGUAUGACCCAAGGACUGGGACAAAGCUGUCCAGGGUGAAAGGAAAGACUCUGGUGCGGGGGAAGACACUCUGGAUUUUUAACAUCACGAUGGAGGAUGCUGGAGACUAUGAGUGUGUUGUGAGGUAGGGGCUAUACUUUUGUCUGCUGUGUGUGUGUGUGUGUGUGUGUGUGUGUGUGUGUGUGUGUGUGUGUGUGUGUGUGUGUGUGUGUGUGUGUGUGUGUGUGUGUGUGUGUGUGUGUGUGUGUGUGUAUAUGUGUAUAUGUGUGUGUAUAUGUGCAUAUGUGUGUGCGUGUGUGUGUGUGUGUGUGUGUGUGUGUUGUGAGGUAGGGGCUAUACUUUUGUCUGCUGUGUGUGUGUGUGUAUAUGUGCGUGUGUGUGUGUGUAUAUGUGCGUGUGUGUUGUGAGGUAGGGGCUAUACUUUUGUCUGCUGUGUGUGUGUAUAUAUGUGUGUGUAUAUGAGUGUGUGGUGUAAAUCUUUCCUGUUACCUUUGAUAACAGACUACCCACCGAGUGCUAUAAGAAGGUGGCCUUACUGAUUGUGAACCACACCAACCCAGAAGAAUGCGGUCGACCAGAAAAGGCCCAACAGGUCCUGACCAACACAGCCACAUCUUUCCUGAACUGCCCAUUGAGUGACCAUGUCAGGGAAGUGGACAAUUACUCCAUCCAGUGGUACAAGGUGAGUCCAAUGGGGUAAACAGACAGUGCAGUGCAGUAAGAGAGUGUUGAGAGGGGACGCCUGACAGCAGGGGCGGAGUAGCCAUCUG
rnacentral:lncRNA from 8 species